AUGUCUCUAGACAAUUUAAGGGGCUUUGCAUUAGCCACAUCCUCAAGUGCUUUCAUUGGAUCUAGCUUUGUGAUCAAGAAGAUUGGCCUGAAGAAAGCUGGGGACGUUGGGGUAAGAGCAGGUUCUGGAGGCUACUCGUACUUGUAUGAACCGUUAUGGUGGAUAGGAAUGGUAACUAUGAUUCUGGGUGAGGUGGCCAAUUUUGCAGCAUAUGCAUUUGCGCCAGCAAUACUUGUUACUCCUCUGGGAGCAUUGAGCAUCAUAUUUAGCGCAGUGCUAGCACACUUCAUUUUGAAUGAGAGGUUGCAUAUGUUUGGCGUGGUUGGUUGUGCAUUAUGUGUUGUUGGUUCAAUUGAUAUAGUUUUGCAUGCCCCGAUGGAAAGAAAGAUUGAUUCAGUUAGCGAAAUAUGGCAACUCGCAACUGAACCAGGUUUCAUAGUAUAUUCUUGCUUGGCUGUAGCUCUUGCACUUGUUUUAAUGUUCUGGGUUGUUCACCAUACCGAGCAAAGGAAAAUGCUCGCAUAUGUUGCAAUAUGUUCACUUUUCGGGUCUCUUACGGUUAUCAGUGUUAAAGCAGUGGCCAUUGCCUUAAAGCUCUCAUUUAACGGAGUGAACCAAUUUGUCUACAUCCAAACGUGGUUCUUUAUUUCUGUUGUGAUUAUAUGCUGUUUAGUGCAGCUGAAUUAUUUAAACAAGGCCUUGGAUUCAUUCAAUACAGCUGUGGUCGCACCUGUAUAUUAUGUGAUGUUCACCACUCUUACUAUUCUUGCGAACAUGAUCAUGUACAAGGACUGGGACUCUCAGAAUGCAACACAGAUAGCAAGUGAGGUGUGUGGGUUCGUGACGAUUGUUGCGGGGACAUUUCUUCUGCACAAGACCAGAGAUAUGGGGAACACACAACCUGACUCGAAUUCUCUGAGAGCGGACUGUGAACUCCAGGAGCAUAGCUAG
rnacentral:rRNA from 1 species